AUUGAACGCUGGCGGCAUGCCUUACACAUGCAAGUCGAACGGCAGCACGGGGGCAACCCUGGUGGCGAGUGGCGAACGGAUGAGUAAUGCAUCGGAACGUGCCCAGUAGUGGGGGAUAACCCGGCGAAAGCCGGGCUAAUACCGCAUACGACCUACGGGUGAAAGCGGGGGACCGUAAGGCCUCGCGCUAUUGGAGCGGCCGAUGUCUGAUUAGCUAGUUGGCGGGGUAAAGGCCCACCAAGGCGACGAUCAGUAGCUGGUCUGAGAGGACGACCAGCCACACUGGGACUGAGACACGGCCCAGACUCCUACGGGAGGCAGCAGUGGGGAAUUUUGGACAAUGGGCGCAAGCCUGAUCCAGCCAUGCCGCGUGCGGGAAGAAGGCCUUCGGGUUGUAAACCGCUUUUGGCAGGAACGAAACGGCGCAAGCUAAUACCUUGCGCUAAUGACGGUACCUGCAGAAUAAGCACCGGCUAACUACGUGCCAGCCGCCGCCGUAAAAC
rnacentral:rRNA from 1 species